rnacentral:rRNA from 1 species
UGUAGUUACUACUUUGUAGUUUAAAUUUCUAGGUAGAAUUAUGAUGAUGACAUUCUCUAUCUAUAUGUCUUGACCAAAUUACGUGCCAGCAGUCGCGGUAAUACGUAGAAGACAAGUGUUAUUCAUCUUUAUUGGGUUUAAAGAGUACCAAGACGGUUAAUAAAGCCCAAAAUACAUGAGCACAGGGGACACAUUAACUAGAGUUAUAUGAAAAGAAGCAUUAAGGUACUGUUGAGUGUAGAGAUAAAAUUCAGUCAUACCAGAUGAAAGGCACAGAUUUAUGCGAAGGCAUCUUCUUAUGUAAUAACUGACGUUGUAGGACGAAGGCUUUUGGAGUGAAGAGGAUUAGAUACCCUUGUAAUUUAAGCAGAAAAUGAUGAAUGUCAUAGGUUUAAUAUAUAUACCCCCCAAAAAAAAACGGGUCAAUGAUAUUGGGUCUAUAAAUGAAAGUGUAAGCAUUCCACCUCAAGAGUAAUUUGGCAACAUUGGAACUGAAAUCAUUAGACCGUUUCUGAAACCAGUAGUGAAGUAUGUUGUUUAAUUAGAUGAUACACAAAAAACCUUACCACAAUUUGAAUAUAUAUCRUUAAUGAUAUUUACAAGCGUUGCACGGCUGUCUUCAGUUAAUGUCGUGAGAUUUUGGUUAGUUCCAUAAAAUUAACGUAAACCCUCGUUUUAUUUAUAAAUAAAAUU